GCUGGAUAUAUACUUGAAAGAAGGAGUUGAGAAUCCAGAUAUGAUGGCUGGUGUAGAGUAUGAUGUGCUCUCGUUUUGGAAGCGAAAUUGUACCAAGUUCCCAAUUUUGUCACGGAUUGCAAAGGAUGUCCUUGCAAUGCAGGUUUCUUCUGUUGCAUCCGAGAGUGCCUUCAGUACGGGUGGAAGGAUCAUAAGCCCAUCUCGAAGUUGUCUUACUCACUUCAUGAUUGAGGUAUUGAUGUGUACUGAACAAUGGCUUAAGCAAGACAUUUCUUGCGAGUCAAGAGUGCUUACUAAUGCAGAAAUCAUUGAAGACAUUGAAGAACAAGAAAAGAUUGAGAGAGAAUUUGCUAUAUGACAUCAAGAGCCUCUUCGUUUCUAAGGAGUAGAACGUUCCACAUCAUGAUUGUCAAGUACUCCUAAGCUCAAGAUUGUUCCAAUGUCUCUCAUUUACGUGUGUGUGUUUCAGUUUAUGUUUGUUGUUUCUUUUAAGUCUUCUGCUUCAAAACUUUUAAAUGUUGCUAUUUUCAGUGUUGAUGCG